AUAAAAUAUUUCCUUCUCUUAAAGAAAUCACUUUAUUACAAUUGUAAGAAGCUAUAUUUAGAGACAAGUUACUAUGAUGAGAGAAAAUAGAUCUAAAUGCUAAAAUUCAUUAAAAAUAUAUUGUUGGAAUACAAGAUGUAGUUAUUAAAUAAUCAAAUUGCUCAUACAGAUAACUAGUAAAGAGCCAAAGUAGGAUGGAAGGGGGAAGAUUGUUAUAGUAAUCAAGACUAUUUUUAACAUGCUGAGCCAGUUUGUGCAUUCAUGUCAUUGUUAAUAGAAAUAAGUGUUGCCAAAAUCAUUCUUAAAGUUCAGGAAAACCUGAAUGAGUACAUCAAAAAUGAAGGCAUUUAUUGUUGUAAUCUUGGCUGAAUAGGUUCCUAAUGGUCCCAAGGAUAGUUGAUGGGUCUAUCAGAGAUCCAUUAGAAGCUCAUGAUGAUCCCAUGAUUCAUGGAGAUGAUAGUCUUGAUGAAAGUUUCUAUGGAACAAUUUUUGGCCAAAAAAAGCCCAUCAAUGCUGGGUCAUCCAUAUAUUUUGAGAUUUGGCACCUUUAUGACUUUUUUUUUAUUCUCCAUGAUCAAAAAUGUACUAAAGGAGACCUGUUUUGAGUCUGUGGAGACAAAGCAAAAAUAGUAAAGUUGCAAGGAAUCCACAAGCACUUUUAGAAGAAAAACUAC
rnacentral:lncRNA from 1 species